ACAAGAAACCGGAAGUGCUGCAGCCGCCGCUGCAGCCGCUGCCGCCGCCGCCGCCCUUAAGUGCCGUGUUCACCGCUUGGGUUGCCGCCGGCGCCGUCGCCAAGGAAGCCGCUUCAGCCCGGUUGGGAGUGGAGGCGGCGCGGCAUGAAGCGGCGCAGGCCCGCUCCGUAGCGCGCGUCGGGACGGUCCGGGCGGGGCCGGGGGGGAAGGAUUGGAUGGUGAGAAAAAGAAAGACUCCUCUGAGAAGAGAACAGGAUGAGCAGAGGGAUCUGUGCUUGAAGUUGAGUCACUUGAGAAAGAUCUCUUUGAAUGUGGAAGAGAUCUGAGCAGAUGAAAAUACAAUCAGGAAAAUGCACCAUGGCAGCAGCAAUGGAAACAGAACAGCUGGGUGUUGAGAUCUUUGAAACUGCAGAGUGUGAGGAGAAUAUUGAAUCACAGGAUCGGCCUAAAUUGGAGCCAUUUUAUGUUGAGCGAUAUUCUUGGAGUCAGCUUAAAAAGCUGCUUGCUGAUACCAGAAAAUAUCAUGGAUACAUGAUGGCUAAGGCACCACAUGAUUUUAUGUUUGUGAAGAGAAACGAUCCAGAUGGGCCUCAUUCAGACAGGAUCUAUUACCUUGCUAUGUCUGGUGAGAACAGAGAAAAUACACUGUUUUAUUCUGAAAUUCCCAAAACUGUCAACAGAGCAGCAGUCUUAAUGCUCUCUUGGAAGCCUCUUUUGGAUCUUUUUCAGGCAACACUGGAUUAUGGAAUGUAUUCUCGAGAGGAAGAACUGUUAAGAGAAAGAAAACGCAUUGGAACAGUUGGAAUUGCUUCUUAUGAUUAUCACCAAGGAAGUGGAACAUUUCUGUUUCAAGCUGGUAGUGGAAUUUAUCAUGUAAAAGAUGGAGGGCCACAAGGAUUUACUCAACAACCCUUACGGCCCAAUUUAGUGGAGACUAGUUGUCCCAACAUUCGGAUGGAUCCAAAAUUAUGCCCGGCUGAUCCAGACUGGAUUGCUUUUAUACAUAGCAAUGAUAUUUGGAUAUCCAACAUUGUAACAAGAGAAGAAAGGAGACUCACCUAUGUGCACAAUGAGCUAGCCAGCAUGGAAGAGGAUCCCAGAUCAGCUGGAGUUGCUACCUUUGUUCUUCAAGAAGAAUUUGAUAGAUAUUCUGGCUAUUGGUGGUGUCCGGAAGCUGAAACAACUCCCAGUGGCAGUAAAAUUCUUAGAAUUCUGUAUGAAGAAAACGAUGAAUCCGAGGUGGAAAUUAUUCAUGUUACAUCCCCUUUGUUGGAAACAAGGAGGGCAGAUUCAUUCCGUUAUCCUAAAACAGGUACAGCAAAUCCAAAAGUCACUUUUAAGAUGUCAGAAAUACUGAUUGAUGCCGAAGGAAGGAUUAUAGAUGUCAUAGAUAAGGAACUAAUUCAGCCUUUUGAGAUUCUGUUUGAAGGAGUUGAAUAUAUUGCCAGAGCUGGAUGGACUCCAGAGGGAAAAUAUGCUUGGGCCAUCCUACUAGAUCGCUCCCAAACUCGCCUACAGAUAGUGUUGAUCUCACCUGAAUUAUUUAUCCCAGUAGAAGAUGAUGCCAUGGAAAGACAGAGACUCAUCGAGUCAGUGCCUGACUCUGUGACGCCACUGAUUAUCUAUGAAGAAACAACAGACAUCUGGAUAAAUAUCCAUGACAUCUUUCAUGUUUUUCCCCAAAGUCAUGAAGAUGAAAUUGAAUUUAUUUUUGCCUCUGAAUGCAAAACAGGUUUCCGUCAUUUAUAUAAAAUCACAUCCAUUUUAAAGGAGAGCAAAUAUAAACGAUCCAGUGGUGGGCUGCCAGCCCCAAGUGAUUUCAAGUGUCCUGUCAAAGAGGAAAUAGCAAUUACCAGUGGUGAAUGGGAAGUUCUUGGCCGUCAUGGAUCUAAUAUCCAGGUUGAUGAAGUCAGAAAGCUGGUAUACUUUGAAGGCACCAAAGAUUCUCCUUUAGAACAUCACUUGUAUGUGGUCAGUUAUGUAAACCCUGGAGAGGUGACAAGGCUGACCGACCGUGGCUAUUCCCACUCUUGCUGCAUCAGCCGGCAUUGUGACUUCUUUAUAAGUAAGUAUAGUAAUCAGAAGAAUCCACACUGUGUGUCCCUUUACAAGCUAUCAAGUGCUGAAGAUGAUCCAACUUGCAAAACAAAGGAAUUUUGGGCCACCAUUUUGGAUUCAGCAGGUCCUCUUCCUGACUACACCCCUCCAGAAAUUUUCUCUUUUGAAAGCACUACUGGCUUUACUUUGUAUGGGAUGCUGUACAAACCUCAUGAUCUACAACCUGGAAAGAAAUACCCUACUGUGCUAUUUAUAUAUGGUGGUCCUCAGGUGCAGUUGGUGAAUAAUCGAUUUAAAGGAAUCAAGUAUUUCCGAUUGAAUACCCUAGCCUCUCUGGGUUAUGUGGUGGUAGUGAUAGACAACAGGGGAUCCUGUCACCGAGGGCUUAAAUUUGAAGGCGCCUUUAAAUAUAAAAUGGAAGCUUUAAAUGCUACCUUUUAGAGAUGCCCCAUGUCCUUUCUGCUGCUUUGGGAAAUGAUGAGAAUCCGAUGUUCCUUUUGCACAGUAAGGCAGUUACUGUGUUUGCCAGUGUAUUGGACAUGAUGAGUAAGACAUGGGGAUAUUCUCCCACAGCCAGUUCUUUGACCUUAUGUUGUAUUCUCAUGGUCAAAUAGAAAUUGACGAUCAGGUGGAAGGACUCCAAUAUCUAGCCUCUCAAUAUGAUUUCAUUGACUUAGAUCGUGUGGGCAUCCAUGGCUGGUCCUAUGGAGGAUACCUCUCUCUGAUGGCAUUAAUGCAGAGGUCAGAUAUCUUCAGGGUUGCUAUUGCUGGGGCCCCAGUCACUCUGUGGAUCUUCUAUGAUACAGGCUAUACGGAGCGUUAUAUGGGUCACCCUGACCAGAAUGAACAGGGCUAUUACUUAGGAUCUGUGGCCAUGCAAGCAGAGAAGUUCCCCUCUGAACCAAAUCGUUUACUACUCUUACAUGGGUUCUUAGAUGAGAAUGUCCAUUUUGCACACACCAGUAUAUUACUGAGUUUUUUAGUGAGGGCUGGAAAGCCUUAUGAUUUACAGAUCUAUCCUCAGGAGAGACACAGCAUAAGAGUUCCUGAAUCUGGAGAACAUUAUGAACUGCAUCUUUUGCACUACCUUCAAGAAAACCUUGGAUCACGUAUUGCUGCUCUGAAAGUGAUAUAAUUCUGACCUGUGUAGAACUCUGGUAUACACUGGCUGUUUAACCAAAUGAGGAGGGUUAAUCGGUAGAGAAUGGUUCAUCACAUUUUGGUACCUGCCACAUAACAUCUACUUCUGAAAAUAUUUUGGUGCCAUGCAGGUGUUUACAGCUUGUGGACAGUAAUCUAAUACCUUAACCACACACACACAAAAUUGAAUGACACGUAUUUCUAAGGCACCCAGCAAUACCAUGAGAAUUACUGAAAGAAAUAAGACAUUAGCACCGUGUAUCCAUACUACCUUAUUUUCAUUUUUAAUAGCAUUAUGAACCUCAUGGAUUUAAUUAGUGUAUUUUUACAGUAUACUUCUGAGUUUGUUAAAAUAUGAUGAUAUUAGUGAUUGGUUUGGUUCAAUUCAAGAAUCUCUGACUAGUUACAGAUUUGAUAGCACUUAAAUGUAAUUGAAUAGCUUAUAUACUUCAUUGCUUGGGGUGUAUCCAGCAUGUUUCAAACUAAUCACUAUUAAACCUAUGGCUUAACCAGUCAUUAAUGAUUUUUCAAGGAUAACUUAGUGGCCUCCUAAAGACACUUAUUUUGUUUCAUUCAAACUCUGACCAGUUUAUAGCCAAUUUAAACUGUAUCUAGUAUAAAUAGUUCUCUUUGAUGAUAUGACCGAGUGGGUUUUUUCCUUUCACAUAAAGACAAGUAACUGUAUAUGUAGCAUGAAUUUAAUUAGUCUUAUAAUAUUAAUAAUUACAGGCAGGAAAAUUUUAAUCAAAUGAUUAGAGCUUAAAUAUUUGCAGGCAAUUUCCCUUAAGAAAUGAAAAAAAGUACACAUUCACUUAGAUUCUUCAGAAAAUUUAAUGGUGCCAGUUUCUACUGGGUAUUUCCUCAUCAAAAUGUUUCAGAGUUUUAGGGUGAUGGAAGGGAAUUUCAGUGGGUUUGGGGAGACUCUAGGGUGUGGAGAAUGACAGGGAGAGGAUAAGGCAAGGGUUUGCUUAAGAGCUAAGCAAAAGCAUAAUUUGUCUAAAAAUACCCAUGAAAAAGUUUGGGAAUUGAAAUUUAAACUCCUAGAAUAUUAGUUAAGGAAACCAAAAUUAAGAAAUCAUACUCUUGCCAACACAGUUACAGCCUAAUAUUAUUCAGGGGAGAAGGUCCUUAGAGUUUUAUAAUUCUGAUUCUGAUUUUUUUUUUAUUAUUUUCUUUAACUUUGGAAACCUUACAAAUUGAAACUGUCUUUAACCUUUUUAAAUUAUUUGAGCAUUAUUUAGAUAUUGUGAGCUUGAAACAAAGAGGUUUCCAGACAACCUCUUUACCAUAAACCGAUCCCUGAUAAACCAUGGCUCUUUUUUUCAGUGUUCAGAGCUUAUAAGCAGUUUCUUGAGUGGCCAUUUUCCUGGUUUAGCCCUAGCACUUGACUGUUGAGGGAGCUCAUAGUGCCGACUGGUGCCGAUUGGGAUCUGUCAUCUUAGAAUCUUAGGGUGCUAGAUGGGUCACAUUGGAGCCAGUGGCAGAGAAGGCACCUAUGAGUUUGACCCUUUUUAUCAUAAGCCUCAGUGUUUGGAAAGUUGUUAUCAGUGCUUUUAAAACAACGCUCCAAAACAAAAAGAAUCAAACAAAAAAACCUCCUGUUCUUUCUCACCACUACAGAGAGAGUAGAUUUCUCCCCUAGAGAGCACAGCCUCCAUUACUAAGGACAGCGACUGUGUGUCAGAGGUGGACUUUACCAUUGAGGGCCAUAUGGGAGCUGGACGAAGUCCAGGGAUGGCAGAGUGACCCGGCGGUUCUGUCCGUGGAAGGUUUUUGGGUUUUGCUGUUUUUGUAUUUACACUGUAUAAUAGGUACCAUACCUAUAUUUUCCUUAUUGUCUGUAUAUGUUUUGAUUUUCUUGUUUAUGAUAUUUUCCCAUGCCGAGAUUUGUUUAUAUAUUUUUCAAUGUUAAAUUAAAUUGAUUUGGGUAACUUUUCUUCCCCAAGAAAGUGUUUUCCCCCAUAUGAAGAUGGUUUUUGUUUGUGAAUUAGUUGGCCUCCAAGGAUCUAUCCUUAUAUAUAUGCAAAGUAGUAAUGGCAUACAGUGGCUUUUAGACAGCUGCUUAUUUGAAACCUCUUAUCCAGUACAGCUGUUUCUCCAAAAUGGCAUCUCCUCUUUUACCAAAACAAACCUUAAAGAACCUCAUGGACGCUUGAAUUCAUAGGUGUUUUCCUCUGGCAUCUUGCCUUCUACUUUUCUCCUAUCACAAGGAAUGCUUCUCUUAUAAUUCCCAGUCAGUUAAAGGCCAUUCUCCUUCUAUAGUGGGAAAAAUACCUGACUGAAUUCACUUGCAGAAAGUUGGUUUGACUGAAUUUGAUUUUAAAAUCAAUGUGGAAAACAUCAUAGUCAAUUCAGGCAAUCAGUAGAAAUCUCACUAAAGCUAUUUGUACUUUGUGUACGGGUAACAUCUUACAAGGCAAGAGUAUAUAAAAGUAGCAGCCUUUUUAGUGAGACCCCAAAAGCACAUCAAAGGGGGUUUUUGCAGCUUGAUAAAUGGGUGCGCUUGAACAACUGUCAUCAGGUAUGGUGGCUUGUGCAUUGCUGAGCGGUGGGACUCAAAAUCUAAGAUUCAUUUGAAAUGCUUAUGAAAAGAAAUGCAGUCUUGAACCUCACUCAUAGAAACUUGGACUUGGUUGAUUUAAAUGGAGACCAGGAAUCUGCCUUUCUCACAAGUUUUCCAGGUGACUCUAAAGCAAGUCAUUUGAAGGCUACUUUGAGAAACUCUUCCAUAGAGAAUGAAUUGGAUUAAGAAAAUAACAGGUGAUAUUUUACACUGGACUGUUCUACAGGAGCCUCAAACAAUAGUCAAGAUAGCUACUCAUCUGUGAUAACAACUAUUGGCCCCUUUUCACUCUGAAAGAAGCAGAAGAUGUCAUUAACUGUAUAUCCAUCUUCUUUGUCUGGAGGUUAAUUUUGGAAUGAAGGUUUUUCCCUCUAUGCCAUUCCUGGCUAGUUUCCAAAGUCUCAUACAAGAAGAUGAAGUCACAAUGCAUGCAUUCUUUUUCAAAAGAAUGAGAUGUAGAUAUUGAUGCUUACUUUUUUACUAGUUUUAGUUCUUACAGAAGGUGUAUCCCACCUCUCUGUAACCUUGUUCUCUCUUUAGGUAAAAGGAUUCCUGUAAGAUCCCUCAUUAUUAUAGAAUCAUAAAAUUUUCAAGCUGUUAUACCUUUGAUAUAAUGUAAUAUUUUCACUUUUUAGAGGAGGAACCUACAUAGAGAGAGAGGAGAAACUAUUACCCAUGACCACACAGCCAGUUAGUGUUCAGUUGGUACUAGACUAGAUUCCAUCCAGAUAUCCUGACUCAUGGUAGUUAAAUAAUAUGUAGAAAGGCAAAUUUUUAAAGAAGUAUUUAUUAAUAUAUUCCUAUGAAACAUUUAAAAAAUAACAUAAAAUGGUUAAUUUUUCCAUUCUAAAGUAAAUGCUAAGCAUGCUUAUUAAUGAAGCAGUACUUCUAAUUAGUAUAUGACAUUCUGAAGUUAAUUAAAAUUGUUACAUUAAAUGUGUCUUCCUUGGUGUAGCAGGGGAUUUGGGGAUUGGGAUAUAUAGUAGAGUGCUUGCUUAAGCCUGGGAGCCCAAAUUAUAGCUAUUUAAAGUAAGAAAAGAGACAUGGCCAUAGCUAAACUGAGCUAUGUAAGGUGAGUGUUCAUUCCCAGCAGACAUAAAGGAAUAAGGAAGCUUUCCUAACUUCCACCUCCCCAACCCCACCCAGCCUCACCUCUCCAUCUUGCACCCUGAAAUGUGGAGACACAUCAGUGCAAGGUGCCGGCUCCUGCUUUUUUUAUUUUGUCAAGAGGCAGUUUUAGGUAAUCAUUUGAGAGGUCCCUCGCAGAGAGAGAGAAAAAAAAUAGUGUUUGUAUGUUUGUUUUUAAAUAACCCAAGUACAGAUUUAUGUUGUAUUCAGCACAAUUGGAGUUCAGGUCUUUAAUUUUAGAACAUAAAGUGCCUGCUGUUUUAAGCAUUGACUUGUAUAAAAAGAAUUGCAUGUCUCACUCCAGUAAGUUUAUGGGUUUUCUCAUUUUCAGCUACUUGGCUCUUAAUCAUGUAAAGUGAAACAUUAGUUUUGUUGCAUUUUAUUACAGGUUCUUUGUUGCAAUAAAAGAUGCUGCUAAAAUUAA